rnacentral:lncRNA from 1 species
GGCAGUCUCAAGCUGUGUAGAUCCUGUUGAUCCAGAGUUCUUACAGCAGGAGUAUUUGAUGUAGAUGAAGGCGUUCGCAGCUGAAGAUUCUCCCUUCUAUCCCUAUCCUUUUAUUUUGCAUUUAUUAGUUUUAGACAGACUUUGUAGUAGGAUCUUACUCUGUACUUUUAAGGAUCAUGUUCGUGACACAGUGUCCUAGUUUGGCUGUAUUAGUAUUUCGUUCGAUUUCCC